GUGAGGAAUAUUGCGCAAUGGAGGCAACUCUGACGCAGCCAUGCCGCGUGCAGGAAGAAGGCGCUACGCGUUGUAAACUGCUUUUAACCGGGAAGAAACCCCAGGACGUGUCCUGGGUUGACGGUACCGGAGGAAUAAGCACCGGCUAACUUCGUGCCAGCAGCCGCGGUAAUACGAAGGGUGCAAGCGUUAUCCGGAUUCAUUGGGUUUAAAGGGUGCGUAGGCGGAGCGUUAAGUCAGUGGUGAAAUCCUGCAGCUUAACUGUAGACUUGCCAUUGAUACUGGCGCUCUUGAGUGCGCUUGAAGUGGGCGGAAUGUGCCGUGUAGCGGUGAAAUGCUUAGAUAUGGCACAGAACACCAAUUGCGAAGGCAGCUCACUAAGGCGAUACUGACGCUGAGGCACGAAAGCGUGGGGAUCGAACAGGAUUAGAUACCCGAGUAGUC
rnacentral:rRNA from 1 species